rnacentral:lncRNA from 1 species
CAGGAGAGAAGCUGGUAACAGAUGGGGCGAAGGAGGAAAAGUUCUUUUUGCGGCACCCUCACGCCUUCCCAGCCCUUUCGCGGUUUACUCGCUCCCCGGAAAGCAGACUAGUCUCACUCUGUUGCCCAGGCUGGAGUGCAGUGGCGCGAUCUCAGCUUACUUCAGCCUCCGCCUCCCGGUUUCAAGUGAAUUCUCCAGCCUCAACUUCACAAGUAGCUGGGAUUACAGGGCAUUCAAGCAGCCCUGAGGAGAGGUCCACAUGGUGAGCCACUGAGGGCCUUGCCAAGAGCCAGCACCAACGGUCCAGGUUUGGAGUGUACCACCUUGGAAGUGAAUCUUCCAGUCCAGUCAAGCCUUCAGAUGACUUCAGAACCGUCCAUGUAAGCCACUCUUGGAUUCCUGACCCACAGAAACUGUUGGAGGCAUUAUCAACAGUUUCUAACAUCACAGACAGACAAACAUGUGCCUCCUGAUUGAAAAAACAGAACAUCACCUGUAGUCUUGCCAGUGAGAUCAAACUGAAGUCCAAUUAACCUCUGGAUCCAGCUGCCAAUUUGCAGGAAAUAGAGGAGAGAAGCAUCUGUUGAACUGCACCAUGAGUAUACACUCAGCAAAGGCCAAACUGUGGAAAAUGAUACAGGUCAAACAGCCUGGAUUCUUUAACAGUAAGUGAUGUUUCUGAAGCACCAAUGAAAAUGAAGUCCUGAAGUCCUGUGCUCAAUAUGAAAUGUUGGAAGUUAGAAGAAAAAAACAAAACUUGGAUCCAAUCUCAAGGCACUUUUUGUUUAAUGGGAAGAAGUGGAUUAUUUUAAAAGCUACAAAUAAAGUUACAUAAAAGUA